rnacentral:rRNA from 1 species
UACGUAGGGGGCAAGCGUUGUCCGGAAUCAUUGGGCGUAAAGAGCGUGUAGGCGGUUCGAUAAGUCUGCUGUGAAAGUCCAGGGCUCAACCCUGGGAUGCCGGUGGAUACUGUCGGGCUAGAGUACGGAAGAGGCGAGUGGAAUUCCCGGUGUAGCGGUGAAAUGCGCAGAUAUCAGGAGGAACACCGGUGGCGAAGGCGGGUCUCUGGGCCACUACUGACGCUGAGAAGCGAAAGCAUGGGGAGCGAACAGG